rnacentral:rRNA from 1 species
GACGAACGCUGGCGGCGUGCUUAACACAUGCAAGUCGAACGAUGAAGCCGGAGCUUGCUCUGGUGAAUUAGUGGCGAACGGGUGAGUAACGCGUGAGUAACCUGCCCUUGACUCUGGGAUAACUGCGGGAAACUGUAGCUAAUACCGGAUACGACCCUCGGAGGCAUCCCCAGGGGGUGGAAAGAAUUUCGGUCAAGGAUGGACUCGCGGCCUAUCAGCUAGUUGGUGAGGUAACGGCUCACCAAGGCGACGACGGGUAGCCGGCCUGAGAGGGUGACCGGCCACACUGGGACUGAGACACGGCCCAGACUCCUACGGGAGGCAGCAGUGGGGAAUAUUGCACAAUGGGCGCAAGCCUGAUGCAGCAACGCCGCGUGAGGGAUGACGGCCUUCGGGUUGUAAACCUCUUUUAGUAGGGAAGAAGCGAAAGUGACGGUACCUGCAGAAAAAGCACCGGCUAACUACGUGCCAGCCGCCGCCGUAA